UAUGGCUCAGGAUGAACGCUAGCGACAGGCUUAACACAUGCAAGUCGAGGGGCAGCAUAAAAGUAGCAAUACUUGGUGGCGACCGGCGCACGGGUGAGUAACGCGUAUGCAACCUACCUAUCAGAGGGGAAUAACCCGGCGAAAGUCGGACUAAUACCGCAUAAAACAGGGGCACCGCAUGGUGAUAUUUGUUAAAGAGAUUCGCUGAUAGAUGGGCAUGCGUUCCAUUAGGUAGUUGGUGAGGUAACGGCUCACCAAGCCGACGAUGGAUAGGGGAACUGAGAGGUUGGUCCCCCACACUGGUACUGAGACACGGACCAGACUCCUACGGGAGGCAGCAGUGAGGAAUAUUGGUCAAUGGGCGGGAGCCUGAACCAGCCAAGUCGCGUGGAAAAGGAAGAAGGAUCUAUGGUUACGUAAACUUCUUUUGCAGGGGAAUAAAGUGCAGGACGUGUCCUGUUUUGUAUGUACCCUGAGAAUAAGGAUCGGCUAACUCCGUGCCAGCAGCCGC
rnacentral:rRNA from 1 species